ACUGAAAAUGCCGGUUCUCGUCUGAUCAAAGAAGUUAAGAAUCAUCCGGUGAGGUUAGUACUUGGGAGGGUGACCCCCAGGGAACAACGCG